GCCCUUGUAGCUCAGCUGGUAGAGCAAUUGAUUUGUAAUCAAUAGGUCCGCGGUUCGACUCCGUGCGGGGGCACCA
rnacentral:tRNA from 9 species